rnacentral:rRNA from 1 species
UACAGAGGGGGCAAGCGUUGUUCGGAAUUACUGGGCGUAAAGGGCGCGUAGGCGGCCUGCUAAGUCGAACGUGAAAUCCCUGGGCUCAACCCAGGAACUGCGUCCGAUACUGGUUGGCUUGAAUCCGGGAGAGGGACGUGGAAUUCCAGGUGUAGCGGUGAAAUGCGUAGAUAUCUGGAGGAACACCGGUGGCGAAGGCGACGUCCUGGACCGGCAUUGACGCUGAGGCGCGAAAGCAUGGGGAGCGAACAGG